rnacentral:rRNA from 10 species
ACGCCUCUAAGUCAGAAUCCAUGCCAGAACGCGGCGAUUUCUCCCCCGCACAUCGUAGUCGGAUACGAAUAGGCUUCGGCCCUGAAUCUUAGCAGGUCGACAACGGGACCCUGGGUUGGAAAACUCGAGGUCUUCGUCGGCGGAUUGCAAUUUCACCUUGCGCGGGGAUAAAUCCCUUGCAUACGACUUGGUUGCGCGGUAGGGUCGUGUAAG